UCCGUAGGUGAACCUGCGGAAGGAUCAUUAAUAAAUGGCGAAAGCUUUCUAUUAUCCAUAACACCUGUGAACUAUUUGCCUUCGGGCACCAAUCCAAACAUAAUGUAAUGAAUGUAAUCUACUAUAAUAAAUAUAACUUUCAACAACGGAUCUCUUGGCUCUCACAUCGAUGAAGAACGCAGCGAAAUGCGAUAAGUAAUGUGAAUUGCAGAAUUCAGUGAAUCAUCGAAUCUUUGAACGCAGAUUGCGCCCUUUGGUAUUCCGAAGGGCAUGCCUGUUUGAGUGUCUUAUAAACCUCACCUCUAUAGUUUUCUAUAGUUGUGCUUUGGGUGUUGCCGUUUACUCUGGCUCGCCUUAAAUGUCUAAGUGGAAUGCGUAAUAAGUUCUCGCAACCCUCCACUCUAACACACUUUAUAUUCUGACCUCAAAUCAGGUAGGACUACCCGCUGAACUUAAGCAUAUCAAUAAGCGGAGGA
rnacentral:rRNA from 1 species